rnacentral:tRNA from 1 species
AUCUAAAUAGUUUAAGUAAAAUGUUGGUUUGUGGUGCCGAUGAUAUGAGUUUUUGUUUUAGAUC